rnacentral:lncRNA from 1 species
GGCGGUCACCCGGUGGGCCAGAGCCGAAGGGACGGGACGGGGGCUUGGAGGACUUCUUGAGGGUAUUAGGCACAACCUCUGAUGGCAGGUUGAGGAAGGUGCGGAGGUACUCAAUGCCAUCGUUGGUCAGGUACCAGUAGUAGUAUUGCCAGGAGAAGGUCUCCCUGACAUACUCCUUUGACUUGAAGCUCUGCAUGAGCUUAAUGACCUCCAAGUUGGGCACGUCAAGCUUUGGGUGCUUAGCCAGGUUGUAGUCCUUCUUGGCAUACAAGACCCCCUC